rnacentral:lncRNA from 1 species
AAAUGCCAAGAAGCAUGAAGGAGAGAGGAGUCUGACCCAGGAGAAAGACGUGAGGGUCUUGAACACUUCCUGGAGGACACGACAUCUCAGACCUUCGUGAGUGAGGGCAACCUUCUGUAUGGUUCUGCACUGUCAGCUCUUGCUGUGCAGUGGCAUAACAAACAUGUCCUAAAUGUUCAUGGUUGACAGGAGCGAAUGCUCUUUCUUUCUGGUAGGCUACAUUCCACUGUAGGUGUGAUCUGUUACUCUUUCAGACUGAUUCAAUUUCAUGUAUCCCUGGGUGGCCUUGAACUCAGAGAGAACUGUCUACCUCUUAAUCCUGAGUCCUAGGAUUAAAGGUGUGUACCACCACCCCCUAGCUUCUGGCUACUGGGAUUAAAGGUGUGUGUCUGGCUUUUAUGGCUUGUGGCUGACUUUGUUUUCUGAAUUCUCAGGCAAGCUUUAAUAAAUCAUAAAUAAUAUCUCAUCACACAGAUCUUCUGUGAAUUAACUUUGUGGUGUUGGGAACACUUCUGGGCUUAAGUUUCUUCAUCUUAAAAUGGCAUUGAUAGCAAUAUCAAACUCAGGCUGUUGGUAUGAAUCAAUGAAACUGAAAACAGAAGUUUCCUGAGCUGUGCUUGGUACCCCCAAAUCACUCAAUGUGUUUGAUCUUGUCAUUACCUACCUUACAGUUUGCUAUGAAGAUUAAAUGAGAAUAUAGCAAGGUUUAACAAACACUAAACAUUUAACUAAUAACAAGUAUUAUCAGUGACCAACUGGAAGGAGGAUAAACACAUCAUCAUAAAACAAAACCAGUGAGAAGCCAUACAGAAUGGAAUGAGGCAACAGUUCCCAAGCCACAGAUUCAUUUAUCACCCAUCCCAAGAUAGAAGAUGCGGCUAGAGCAGUGGCCCUGGGAGGAACAGUGCUUCUCUGCUUCUAACACUGCAAUGAAAUUCAGGACAAACACUAUACUAUGCAUGAAGAUCACCGCCUGGAGAUCCCAGCUCUUCAUUCCAGACGUCGUAUUUGAAAAUGGAACCUGAGGAAAGCGUGGUUUAUUCAUUUUGUUGUUUUCUGUGGUGCUCACAUGGCUGCCCUGAAAGCUCACUGUAGGAGAGCUCAAUUAAGAGGCUUCAUAAUUUUCACCAGUUAACUUUGAUUAAAUGCACUGUCUUGGAGGGGAACUCAGCCAAUCCUGGCUAUAAAUUACCUGCAGUGAGUUUUCAACU